rnacentral:rRNA from 1 species
UAAUACGGAGGGUGCGAGCGUUGUCCGGAAUCACUGGGCGUAAAGGGCGCGUAGGCGGCUUGGGAAGUCUGUGGUGAAAGCCCGUGGCUCAACUACGGGUCGGCCAUGGAUACUCUCGAGCUGGAGCACUGUAGAGGCAGGUGGAAUUCCGGGUGUAGCGGUGGAAUGCGUAGAGAUCCGGAAGAACACCGGUGGCGAAGGCGGCCUGCUGGGCAGUAGCUGACGCUGAGGCGCGACAGCGUGGGGAGCAAACAGGAUUAGAUACCCUGGUAGUCCACGCCGUAAACGAUGGGCACUAGGUGCUUGGGGGAGCGACCCCUUGAGUGCCGGCGCUAACGCAUUAAGUGCCCCGCCUGGGGAGUACGGCCGCAAGGCUGAAACUUAAAUGAAUUGACGG